rnacentral:tRNA from 1 species
GCCUCGGUAGUAUAAAGGUUUAGGACGCUCACACGGAAUGCAAGAAGUCCGGGUUCGACUCCCGGCCGAGGUA